UCUCUGGUGGCUCAGUGGUAGAGAACCUGCCUGCCAAUGCAGGAGACAGGAGUUCAAUACCUGUCUGGAGAG
rnacentral:tRNA from 1 species